rnacentral:rRNA from 1 species
AGGUACCGGAAGGUGCACUUGGAUC